UACAGAGGGGGCAAGCGUUGUUCGGAAUUACUGGGCGUAAAGCGUGCGUAGGUGGUUUGUUAAGUCUGCUGUGAAAGCCCUGGGCUCAACCUGGGAAUGGCGGUGGAUACUGACAAGCUAGAGUGCGGUAGAGGAGGGUGGAAUUCCCGGUGUAGCGGUGAAAUGCGUAGAGAUCGGGAGGAACAUCAGUGGCGAAGGCGGCCCUCUGGACCAGCACUGACGCUGAGGCACGAAAGCGUGGGGAGCAAACAGG
rnacentral:rRNA from 1 species